UUCAAAUUGACUUUUGGGUUUCCAUCAUAUAUUCCCACUUGAAAUGUAGAGCAGUCCGUGUCACGUUUUCAGGCUGUCUUCAUGCAGAACGACUAGCUGGGAUUCAAACCUGGGACCUUCUUGCUAAGAAAAUACUGUCAAGCUGUUGCAAAAUCAUGGUCAUAUUUAAUAAAUAUGUUUUUUCCAUUGCA